UUAUCUCUUUUUAGAAAGAGAGUGACGGGCGAUAUGUACAUAUUCUAUUGCUAAAUUUCAAUUCUUUAUAAUUAAAAAAAUUUACUCACAAAUCCGCCUUCAUAUGAUUUUUCAUACAUAAUCCGUUAUUAAUUAAAUUAAAUGUAGCUCAUCUUCUCUUAGUUAUAAGUUGCACCUUGACCUGAAGUCUUUAAAUUAUCAAUGAAGGAAACAUUCUUUUAAAGUAACCUGACACGGCGGUAUACAAACUGCUAUACAAAACCAAGAAAGGUAAAUCGAGGAUUAUCAAUUAUGAGACAAGCUCCUCUGUAAAGGUAGAAUACCGCCAAAAUCUUUGGGUUUGAAGAACAUCUUUUACUACCCUAAAAUCAUUUAGUUAAAAUAACAGGGUAUCUAAUCCUGGUUUAUCCUUUAACUUUCAAAAGAACUUCACACUCACCUUUUUAAAUUCCUUAUUAAAUUUAAAUUUCACCUUAAAAUUUAACUUUUCUAUUAAUAAAUAUGACACGGCAAUUGCUUUCUUAAAAUUUUUUACUCUACUUGAAUUCUACGUCUAACCGCGGUAGCUGGCACGACUUUAACCAAUUCUUACUUAUUUAACUAACCCUAGUAUUUCUAGUAUUUAAUAUUAAGUACUACUAACAUGCAUUUUUAAAAAAACAUUUAUGUAUAUACGAGCUAACUAAUAGCAUAGUUUAAGCCAGAAU
rnacentral:rRNA from 1 species